AUUGAACGCUGGCGGCAGGCCUAACACAUGCAAGUCGAACGAGUGGCGGACUGGUGAGUAAUGUCUGGGCAACUGCCUGAUGGAGGGGGAUAACUACUGGAAACUGUAGCUAAUACCGCAUACCAUCAGAUCUGCCCAGAUGGGUUUAGCUAGUUGGUGGGGUAACGGCUCACCAAGGCGACGAUCCCUAGCUGGUCUGAGAGGAUGACCAGCCAAACUGGAACUGAGACACGGUCCAGACUCCUACGGGAGGCAGCAGUGGGGAAUAGUGGACAAUGGGCGCAAGCCUGAUAGAGCAAUGCCGCGUGAGUGAAGAAGGCCUUCGGGUUGUAAAGUACUUUCAGCGGGGAGGCGGUACCCAAAGAAGAAGCACCGGCUAACUCCGUGCCAGCAGCCGCGGUAAUAC
rnacentral:rRNA from 1 species